AAAGGAAUUGACGGGGGCCCGCACAAGCGGUGGAUUAUGUGGUUUAAUUCGAAGCAACGCGCAGAACCUUACCUGGGCUUGAACUCUCACGAAUCUGACAGAGAUGUCGGAGUGUUCGCAAGAAAAUGUGAUGAGAGGCGCUGCAUGGCUGUCGUCAGCUCGUGUUGUGAAAUGUUGGGUUAAGUCUCGCAACGAGCGCAACCCCCGUUCUUAGUUGCCAUCAUUAAGUUGGGCACUCUAGGAAGACUGCCUGGGUUAACCAGGAGGAAGGUGGGGAUGACGUCAAGUCCUCAUGGCCCUUAUGUCCAGGGCUACACACGUAAUACAAUGGUCGGUACAAAGGGAUGCGAACCUGCGAAGGGGAGCAAAUCUCAAAAAACCUAUCUCAGUCCGGAUUGAAGUCUGCAACUCGACUUCAUGAAGUUGGAAUCGCUAGUAAUCGCGGAUCAGCACGCCGCGGUGAAUACGUUCCCGGGCCUUGUACACACCGCCCGU
rnacentral:rRNA from 1 species